UGCAGAAUCCCGUGAACCAUCGAGUCUUUGAACGCAAGUUGCGCCCGAAGCCAUUAGGCCAAGGGCACGUCUGCCUGGGCGUCACGCAUCGCGUCGCCCCCCAAACCCCGCUCCCGGCAUCGGGGCGUGGCUGUUUUGGGGGCGGAUAUUGGCCUCCCGUGGGCGACAUAGAGAACGCGGCUGGCCGAAACAAGAGUCCCCCGAAGUGGCGGGCGUCACGACAAGUGGUGGUUGAACGGCCCCUGGCCACGGAAUUGUCCUGUCGUGCGUACGUCCAUCCGGCGGAGAGCUCCCGGUGACCCCUCACGUGCCGUCCCCGACGGUGCUCCGACCGCGACCCCAGGUCAGGCGGGACUACCCGCUGAGUUUAAGCAUAUCAAUAAGCGGAGGAGAAGAAACUUACAAGGAUUCCCCUAGUAACGGCGAGCGAACCGGGAACAGCCCAGCUUGAAAAUCGGGCGGCCGCGCCGCACGA
rnacentral:rRNA from 1 species